rnacentral:misc_RNA from 1 species
GAAAAAAUUAAAAUUUCUUGCUAGGAGAGGUAAUAUACUACCUUUGAAGUGCAGCAAUCCAAUGUAUAAAUUAUAAAUAAUCCUGCAAGAUUUGUUAUGUUGCCUACCUCCCUCGGUAUAGUUCCAGUGAACUUGUUUUCAGACAAUGACAAGAAUUUGAGCUUUUUGCAUUUUUCAAAGUUUGGUGGAAUGAUGCCACCUAGGAUGUUUUCUGAGAG